AUUCAACUGUCAACUGUCAUUUUAUUCCACGGUCACAGUAUUUAUGCAAGUCCCCAUGCAAGGGGUUUCCUGAAUGACAUUGCAGGGGUUUUACUACAGAGGACUGUUUCCCAGCAUGCCUUGCUGUACAGGAGAGAUAAUUGUGCAAGAAUGUACUGUUAUUCACAUUAUCUCUCCGUACAGCAAAAUAUACAGUUUUACAUAAAAAAACAAAAAACAAAACCAUAACUGAUAUAAUAUUCAGACGAAUGCUACACACUCCAUAUAAAUUGAGCAUAGCAACAGUUAACGAAAUAUUCACCCUAAGUGUCCAGAAGUGGCUAGGUUUGCCACAGAUGGUAUAUAGAGGAUGUGUGCAGAAGGAGCUGUAUUCUCAUACGAUGCUAUAUAGAAAAUGUGAGCAGAAGGAGCUGUAUUAUCAUGUGAUGGUAUAUAUAGAUUGUGUGCAGAAGGAGCUGUAUUAUCCCGUGAUGGUAUAUAGAGAAUGUGUGCCGAAGGAGCUGUAUUAUCACGUGAUGGUAUAUAGAGCAUGUGACGGAACGCUGGCACUCCGACUGAGUACCUCCGCCAAUCGAUGCUCCUAGUGCUCGCUGGGGACUCCAAGCACUCCAACCGACACCAUCAGCACUGCAGACCCCACUUCCAGCGAUGCAACUGCGCCGGGGUCUCUGCUGUCUCCACCCACCCUGGACCCAAGGCCAGGAUCCAGCUUCCAGUGGGUGAACCUCUCUUUCCCCAGAGAGCAGGAACAGGAACAAGCUCUUAGCAGAACUUAGUGAUCAUUCCCUGGGGAGUAUAGUGAUUAUAGCAAUCCCCAGAGUGUAUUUCUCCAAUCCCCCAAACAUGAGCCAAGGCUUAAUGCUGGAACAAGACUGAUUUACUGGCACACAGAACUCACAAUUUAUGCAACACAAAACUCCUCCUCUGUCCAGGCUAGAUAAUUGAGUUCCUACAAUACUCAAAGCUCAAUUAUCUGCUGGCCAGAAAUAAUACAGUUUCAUAAAACACAUCACAGGGACCCCAAAACAU